UACGUAGGGCGCAAGCGUUGUCCGGAAUUAUUGGGCGUAAAGAGCUCGUAGGCGGUUUGUCGCGUCUGCUGUGAAAGCCCCGGGGCUCAACCCCGGGUCUGCAGUGGGUACGGGCAGACUAGAGUGCAGAGGGGAGAACUGGAAUUCCUGGUGUAGCGGUGAAAUGCGCAGAUAUCAGGAGGAACACCGAUGGCGAAGGCAGGUCUCUGGGCUGUUACUGACGCUGAGGAGCGAAAGCAUGGGGAGCGAACAGGAUUAGAUACCCGCGUAGUCC
rnacentral:rRNA from 1 species